rnacentral:rRNA from 2 species
AAAUUGAAGAGUUUGAUCAUGGCUCAGAUUGAACGCUGGCGGCAGGCCUAACACAUGCAAGUCGAACGGUAACAGGAAGCAGCUUGCUGCUUCGCUGACGAGUGGCGGACGGGUGAGUAAUGUCUGGGAAACUGCCUGAUGGAGGGGGAUAACUACUGGAAACGGUGGCUAAUACCGCAUAACGUCGCAAGACCAAAGAGGGGGACCUUCGGGCCUCUUGCCAUCAGAUGUGCCCAGAUGGGAUUAGCUAGUUGGUGAGGUAACGGCUCACCAAGGCGACGAUCCCUAGCUGGUCUGAGAGGAUGACCAGCCACACUGGAACUGAGACACGGUCCAGACUCCUACGGGAGGCAGCAGUGGGGAAUAUUGCACAAUGGGCGCAAGCCUGAUGCAGCCAUGCCGCGUGUAUGAAGAAGGCCUUCGGGUUGUAAAGUACUUUCAGCGGGGAGGAAGGUGUUGUGGUUAAUAACCGCAGCAAUUGACGUUACCCGCAGAAGAAGCACCGGCUAACUCCGUGCCAGCAGCCGCGGUAAUACGGAGGGUGCAAGCGUUAAUCGGAAUUACUGGGCGUAAAGCGCACGCAGGCGGUCUGUCAAGUCGGAUGUGAAAUCCCCGGGCUCAACCUGGGAACUGCAUU